rnacentral:lncRNA from 1 species
GUUCCACAGUCCAUCCACCUGUUACUCAGAUACUGUAAGUAAAACAUAGUUUUACAUACAAAUUAAUGUAACUAGAUUAAUGCAGUUCAUCUCAUAACUGUAGUACUGCAGAGGAAUGGAACGAUGCAGCAAUCAGCAAACUCUGAAGAUGCCUAUUAACCACACCUUUUUCAACUGCAGAUCUGCUUUCAGCUGCAGAGACCGAACGCACAGCGUUAGCCCAUGCCGCGCUAUGAAUGCCAAACAGCAGAACGAGCCCCUGGACCAGAGCGAUGAUAUUUCGGGGAGGAAUUCUUGCACGUUUUCCAGCCAUGGGUAUGAGAACGAGACAGCCAAGAGCUCUUCCGCUUCACAGGCUCAGGCCAGGGGACCCAGGGAACCGUUUGCGGGAAUGACACCUGCCCGGGCUCGGCCGCGGCAGGGCUGCGCCUGCCGCGCGCCGCUGAGGGGCUGCGCUGGGCAGCGCUCAGGGAGCCACGCAGGGAGCAGCACUAGCCAAGAUAUAUUAUUAUUGGACAUUGAUUGCUGGAUUUAA